CACUAGAAAGCUAAAAUCGAAUAAGCAUUGGCCUUUUAAGCCAAACCUUGGUGAUUAACGACCACCUCCAGUGA
rnacentral:tRNA from 1 species